rnacentral:rRNA from 1 species
AUUGAACGCUGGCGGCAGGCCUAACACAUGCAAGUCGAGCGGUAACACAGGGAGCUUGCUCCCGGGUGACGAGCGGCGGACGGGUGAGUAAUGUCUGGGAAACUGCCUGAUGGAGGGGGAUAACUACUGGAAACGGUAGCUAAUGCCGCAUAACGUCGCAAGACCAAAGAGGGGGACCUUCGGGCCUCUUGCCAUCAGAUGUGCCCAGAUGGGAUUAGCUAGUAGGUGGGGUAAUGGCUCACCUAGGCGACGAUCCCUAGCUGGUCUGAGAGGAUGGCCAGCCACACUGGAACUGAGACACGGUCCAGACUCCUACGGGAGGCAGCAGUGGGGAAUAUUGCACAAUGGGCGCAAGCCUGAUGCAGCCAUGCCGCGUGUAUGAAGAAGGCCUUCGGGUUGUAAAGUACUUUCAGCGGGGAGGAAGGUGCUGAGGUUAAUAACCUCAGCAAUUGACGUUACCCGCAGAAGAAGCACCGGCUAACUCCGUGCCAGCCGCCGCGGUAAUAC